rnacentral:rRNA from 1 species
UACGAAGGGGACUAGCGUUGUUCGGAAUUACUGGGCGUAAAGCGCACAUAGUCGGCUUUGCAAGUCGGUUGUGAAAUCCCCGGGCUCAACCUGGGAACUGCAUCCGAGACUGCAUUGCUAGAGUAUGGGAGAGGAAAGCGGAAUUUCUGGUGUAGCAGUGAAAUGCGUAGAUAUCAGAAGGAACAUCAGUGGCGAAGGCGGCUUUCUGGACCAAUACUGACGAUCAGGUGCGAAAGCGUGGGGAGCAAACAGG